rnacentral:lncRNA from 1 species
CCUCAUGUUAAGAUGCAAAGAGUAGACUCCGUGAAAAAUAUGACAGACCCACUGACUAAGCAGUUGAGCCAAUCCAAAAAUGGAAGUCCACCUUGAAAAGAUGGGACUUAAAUUUAUGGCCAAUUGGUUUUAGUCCAAGUGGAAGAUUGUUAUAUGUAUGUCCUAGAAGCCAAUAUGGCUGACAUAUUGUAAUAUUUUUAGAGCACAAUUUUUGUACUUAAUAUAUUGAUAUAAUCAAUAAAAGGAGCAAGUUCUUUUUCAUUCAAGUGUAACGUGUCUUUGAAUCGUCCAUGAAAUUAGUUUCGAUACAUAUUCUCAAAGUGUUAAGAAUUAGAGAUAUGUAUUUAAUUCCUAAAGGCUUUCGGUCAUAGGAUCAUCAUGAGGACGAUGAUAGAUCCAGAUAGACUGACACAUAAAUCACUUUCUUUGGAAUAGAUGGGUCUCUAAUCUACUGUAUAGAGACACAGGGCGAUA